rnacentral:rRNA from 1 species
AGCUUGCUCCCCGCUGACGAGCGGCGGACGGGUGAGUAAUGCAUAGGAAACUGCCCAGUAGUGGGGGAUAGCCCGGGGAAACCCGGAUUAAUACCGCAUACGCCCUUUGGGGGAAAGCAGGGGAUCUUCGGACCUUGCGCUAUUGGAUGUGCCUAUGUCGGAUUAGCUAGUUGGUGGGGUAAGAGCCUACCAAGGCGACGAUCCGUAGCUGGUCUGAGAGGAUGAUCAGCCACAUCGGGACUGAGACACGGCCCGAACUCCUACGGGAGGCAGCAGUGGGGAAUAUUGGACAAUGGGGGCAACCCUGAUCCAGCCAUGCCGCGUGUGUGAAGAAGGCUUUCGGGUUGUAAAGCACUUUCAGUGAGGAGGAAAACCUUACGACUAAUACUCGUGAGGCUUGACGUUACUCACAGAAGAAGCACCGGCUAACUCCGUGCCAGCAGCCGCGGUAAUACGGAGGGUGCAAGCGUUAAUCGGAAUUACUGGGCGUAAAGCGCGCGUAGGUGGUUUGAUAAGCGAGAUGUGAAAGCCCCGGGCUCAACCUGGGAACGGCAUUUCGAACUGUCAGGCUAGAGUAUGGUAGAGGAGUGUGGAAUUUCCUGUGUAGCGGUGAAAUGCGUAGAUAUAGGAAGGAACACCAGUGGCGAA